AGCGAACGCUGGCGGCAGGCCUAACACAUGCAAGUCGAACGGACCCUUCGGGGUUAGUGGCGGACGGGUGAGUAACACGUGGGAACGUGCCUUUAGGUUCGGAAUAGCUCCUGGAAACGGGUGGUAAUGCCGAAUGUGCCCUUCGGGGAAAGAUUUAUCGCCUUUAGAGCGGCCCGCGUCUGAUUAGCUAGUUGGUGAGG
rnacentral:rRNA from 1 species